rnacentral:rRNA from 1 species
CCUACGGGGUGCAGCAGUGGGGAAUAUUGCACAAUGGGGGGAACCCUGAUGCAGCGACGCCGCGUGAGCGAGGAAGUAUUUCGGUAUGUAAAGCUCUAUCAGCAGGGACGAAAAAAGACGGUACCUGACUAAGAAGCCCCGGCUAACUACGUGCCAGCAGCCGCGGUAAUACGUAGGGGGCAAGCGUUAUCCGGAUUUACUGGGUGAAAAGGGAGCGUAGACGGCAAGGCAAGCCAGAAGUGAAAGGGCAGGGCUCAACCCUGUACAUGCUUUUGGAACUGUGGUGCUAGAGUGCAGGAGAGGUAAGUGGAAUUCCUAGUGUAGCGGUGAAAUGCGUGGAUAUUAGGAGGAACACCAGUGGCGAAGGCAGCUUACUAAACUGUGACUGACAUUGAUGCUCGAAAGUGUGGGUAUCAAACAGGAUUAGAUACCCUUGUGUC